CUACGUGCCAGCAGCCGCGGUAAUACGGAAGGUCCGGACGUUAUCCGGAUUUAUUGGGUUUAAAGGGAGUGUAGGCGGUUUGUUAAGCGUGUUGUGAAAUUUAGGUGCUCAACAUUUAACUUGCAGCGCGAACUGGCGAACUUGAGUGCACACAACGUAUGCGGAAUUCAUGGUGUAGCGGUGAAAUGCUUAGAUAUCAUGAAGAACUCCGAUUGCGAAGGCAGCAUACGGGAGUGUAACUGACGCUUAAGCUCGAAGGUGCGGGUAUCGAACAGGAUUAGAUACCCUGGUAGUCCGCACAGUAAACGAUGGAUGCCCGCUGUUAGCGCCUGGCGUUAGCGGCUAAGCGAAAGCAUUAAGCAUCCCACCUGGGGAGUACGCCGGCAACGGUGAAACUCAAAGGAAUUGACGGGGGCCCGCACAAGCGGAGGAACAUGUGGUUUAAUUCGAUGAUACGCGAGGAACCUUACCCGGGCUUGAACUGCAGCUGAACGAUUCAGAGAUGAU
rnacentral:rRNA from 1 species